UAGAGAAUCUGCAUGGUGGAC
rnacentral:miRNA from 1 species